GGUAAACAAGAUGUGCGCGCUUACUCCGUGCCGAUUUGAAUGAGAAGACUUUGCACCAUAUAAACCACGACGAUAACCUCGGGAUUUAUUAACUUUGAAUGCAUGGUGUUGGUUGCAUCAUCCGUAUUUUCAAAUUUCCACAUUCAAAAGACCCGCCUUUGGUGAAGGCAAAGGUAUUGUGCUAUUCUCUCCGAGGGGUGGAUUCCUUAUCAGCCUUUUCAGUGUAUGUGAUUCUAACUAGGUCUUAUAGAUCCGCCGCUCUGUUCUACCUAUACCACGUAAACAGUGAACAUAGGAUUUCUGUGAUUCUGUUC